GAUGAACGCUGGCGGCGUGCCUAAUACAUGCAAGUCGAGCGAACGGACGAGAAGCUUGCUUUUCUGAUGUUAGCGGCGGACGGGUGAGUAACACGUGGAUAACCUACCUAUAAGACUGGGAUAACUUCGGGAAACCGGAGCUAAUACCGGAUAAUAUUUUGAACCGCAUGGUUCAAAAGUGAAAGACGGUCUUGCUGUCACUUAUAGAUGGAUCCGCGCUGCAUUAGCUAGUUGGUAAGGUAACGGCUUACCAAGGCAACGAUGCAUAGCCGACCUGAGAGGGUGAUCGGCCACACUGGAGCUGAGACACGGUCCAGACUCCUACGGGAGGCAGCAGUAGGGAAUCUUCCGCAAUGGGCGAAAGCCCGACGGAGCAACGCCGCGUGAGUGAUGAAGGUCUUCGGAUCGUAAAACUCUGUUAUUAGGGAAGAACAUAUGUGUAAGUAACUGUGCACAUCUUGACGGUACCUAAUCAGAAAGCCACGGCUAACUACGUG
rnacentral:rRNA from 1 species